CAGUCGCCACGGUAAUACGUAGGGGGCGAGCGUUGUCCGAAGUUACUGGGCGUAAAGCGCGCGUAGGCGGCUUCUUAAGUCUGAGGUGAAAGGUUCAACGCUUAACGUGAACAGUGCCUUGGAUACUGGGGAGCUUGAGUAUGGGAGAGGGCAGUGGAAUGGCUGGUGUUGCGGUGAAAUGCGUAGAUAUCAGUCGGAACACCCAUGGCGAAGGCAGCUGCCUGGCCUAAUACUGACGCUUAGGUGCGAAAGCGUGGGGAGCGAACGGGAUUAGAUACCCCUGUAGUCCCUGUCUCUUAUA
rnacentral:rRNA from 1 species